UCUACAAAAAAAAAUAAGAUAGCUUAAUAACAAUAAAAUUUUCAGUUCAAUAAAAUUUCAUCAUGAAACAUUCAAAAAAGAAAAAAAUACGACGACCAUUUUAAUAUGUUUGAUGAUAUUUCAUGUUUCUCCAUCUAUGAAAUAUUAUGUUUUCAAUAAUUAUAAUUUCUUAUCUCGAGUGUACAAUGUUUGAUGAAAUAUUCCAUAUAAAAAAUUUAACAUGAUUCAAAUAAUAUUCGUGUUCUUCAUUAUGAUAGUGACAUAAUAAAUUAAAAAGGAUAAAAAAGCAAGAUAAUGAACGAUAGUGGAAUAUUUUUUGUUGGUAUUGAGAUUAGAUUGCAGAAAAAAUUUAAUUUGAUUCAACGAGAUAUGACACGUUAAAUUUUUAAUUCGAUUUUUCUUAUACUAAAUUUUAUAAUUUAAUAACAAAAUUAUAUAUUCUUUGACUAAUUUUCAAAUUUGAAUUAGAAUUGAAUAUUAUUUCACUUAUUGAAAAAUUAUUUAUUGAAAUUGAAAAAUAAAAUUAUAAUAAAGAUAAUUAAAUUUUUUAAAAUCCUUGAAAGAGCUAUUAUUAAAAUUAUUGAAAUUACAGAUUUCAGAUUUCUUGCUUUUAAUAUGUUCUUUUAAUAUAUAUUAUUUUUAUUAUAAAGAUAAUUUUAGCAAAAGCAAUAUUGAUUUUUAUUGAGACAGAAACAUGAUUACGUAUAUAUCUAUUUAUUUUCAUCUUAUUUUAAUUAUAUAACUAAAGAAUAAAUUUUUUCAAAUAAAUUUGUUAUCGAAACAAUGUUUUAUCAUAAACUAUAAAACUUAAUUUUGUAAUUUUGUAAUUUCAAAGAAAUUAAUUUAUUUUAUAUGUUUUAUGAAUUAUCAUUAUUUGUUAAUUUAUAUGUUAUUAAUAACAAUUAUUAUAUUACUAUUAUAUAUAUUAUAUUUAAGAUAAUAAGAUAAUAAUAUGUAAGAUAUUAGAAGAAGUUUCAAAUGUUACUGAAAAUAUGUAUGUAUAUAUGUAAUUUUUAUUGUUUAUUCGAGUAGUGAAUAAUUUUAAUGAAAAAAAAAAAAAAACACAAUUUUUCACAUUUUACUCACUUCGAAAUCGUGUUUAGAAUGUUCUUCACCAUUAUAACAUACGUAGGCGACAUGUUUAUCAGGGAUUACUUUUGCGGGAAGCAUGUCACCCUCGUGAAAGGCUCUGCCAACGUAAAUCGAACUACCGUCUACAUCACGACCUCCGAGAAUCGCAGUUUCCGGCAAACUUUGCCCUGCACUUCGGUUCAAC